ensembl:lncRNA
UGUGAAUCUUAUUUAGUUGUAUAUACUGUAUAUUUGUUAUAUAAUUAAAUGUACAAAGUGUAAAUGUUCAGUUAGUGUGGCCAUUAUGGAGGCUUUUAGAGAAACUGUCAUGGUGACAGGAGGUUUUGCUCAUCCAUGAUCUCCCUGUGGGGAGUUUGAUGAGGAGAUAUUGUCCAGUUGUUGUAUGUUAGGGUUGUAUUGGUUUGUGAGAGAUAUGAUGUAAUAAUAUUGUCUCAUUCUGUCUCUACAUUACUUUUUCCCUCUCUUUGUCAUGUAGAAGUCCUUUCUUGAAGAGACAGUUAGGCGUGAGUGUGAAGAGAGGGAAGAACUGAUUGCAGCACUGACCCUGACCAAAGAUCAACUACUGGAACUCAAACACUCCAAAACAAAACCAAAUGACACCCAGACACACACCCAGCUCUCCAGAGUCAGACCUACAGUGAAAAACCCGGAUCUCCCUUUCCCCAGACUCAAUCCCAGCCCUCCCAGCCAUCCUCAGACACGCAACCACAGCUCUUUGUCCACUCAGGGCACCAGGCAGCGUUUGUCUGAGUGGAAUUCUUGUAGUAUGAGUAGAAGUUCGACAUCCUGGCAUGGAUCAUCACUGCCAACACCCACCCUGCCCAAAAUCAGCAAAGAGAGAGUCACUUCAGUGAAUGACUUGUGCAAAAGCAUCACUAUGGUCAGAGGUUACCAUAUAGUUGAAAUGAUAGCAACACCAAGGGAAAGGUGGUGCAACACCAACAAAAAUCUUCAAGUUCAGCUGGGGGACGGGGUGUUCAAACUCCACUUUGCUGUGACAGUCAAUCUCUGGCGCUGGCGUUCCUUUCUGGCUUGAGGGCUCAGCCACUGUAAAGGCAGCACCAAGCUCCAUAUAACUUCAUAAUCUUUCUCCUUUAUGAAGCUAUGAAGCCUAC